AGGGUCGUAGUCAAAAAUGACAUUUGAUUUGCAUUCAAAAAGUAUUAAUUUUAAUCUUCCUUG
rnacentral:tRNA from 1 species